GGCAGCCAUCUUUAUGAUCUGGUUACGAUUACGUUUACUUUACUAGCUUGUUGAAAUGCAUCGAGUUGUUUUGAUUAAUUCUAACUAAUUAUUAAACUUUUUUUAUAAUUGUGUGAUUCAACUAGUUGCGCUAGUCAUGAUACGGUAUACUUAGUUUGGAAAUACUCUAAGUAAUCUUUGCCUUAAGUCUGACAAGUUUCAAUCUUACUUAAUUCCAUGAUGAUCAACAAAACGUCAAAUUCGACCGAUGCCAGCGAUGAAGAACCAGGGAAAUUAUUCGUCGGAGGCCUUAGCUGGGAAACAACCGAAGAAAAACUACAGCAGUAUUUUGGCGAAUUUGGCGAAGUAAUCGAUUCGGUUGUUAUGAAAAACACAGAGAGUGGUCAAAGUCGAGGAUUCGGUUUCGUUACUUUCGGUGAUCCAAAUUCAGUCGAGAAAGUUUUAGCUAAAGGAACCCAUUUACUAGAUGGACGAGCUAUUGAUCCGAAACCGUGUAGUACAAAAGCAGCGAUUAAAUCGAAGAAAAAUUCGCAAUAUCCGAAAAUAUUCCUGGGAGGAUUACCCUUCAACGUAACAGAGACCGAUCUGAGAUCGAUAUUUUCAAAAUAUGGUGAAGUGAUGGACGUAAUAAUAAUGUAUGAUCAUGAGAAAAACAAAUGCAGAGGAUUCGGAUUUUUAUCAUUUGAGAAAGACGAAGAUGUAAACAAAUGCGUAGCCGACCAUUAUAUCUACGUAAAUGGCAAGAAGGUCGAGGUUAAGAGAGCCGAACCGAGAGAUGGUCGAGGAAGUGCUUCUGCCGCCACACAAUGGCCUAAUGCCCAAACUACUCCAGCUGUAGAUCCGUCUAGAAACAUGCCAAUGCAGAAUUAUCAAGGAUGGGGUGCUGCUCCUGCUCCUGGAUAUGGAUAUGGUGCCCCACCCGGAGCCCCUGUUCCAUACGGAGGAUGGGGUGGACCGCCCCCAACCCCUCAAUGGGGACCAGGCUACCCAACUCCUGGAUAUACACCUUAUGGCACCCCUCAAACGCCGUACGCCAACUGGAACUGGAACGUACCGCCGCAGCCUCCGGCUACCGGACCUCCACCUCCGGCCAAUCCGCCAGCCAACGGCGCACCUCCCAUACCAACUCAGCCGGCUGUAGCAACUACCGACUUUGUCACAGAUCCGUACGGGCGAGCCGCGAUGCCACCAGCUCCUCCUCCGCCAGCUCCUCAGACGGCUUCCAAACAAGAAUACAGCAGCUAUGCCUCUUACUCGGGUUAUACUCCGUACGAAUAUGUGAUUUUAGGAUCCGGCCGCCGCGUAUAGUGCUCCUGGAACAACCGCCGCGCCUAGGACGACAUAUGGAAUCGAGACUACGGCUGCUGCUCCAGGAGAGCCCUAUGGAAGCGCUCCCGGCCCUCAGAGGAAUAACCAGAGCCAGCAGUCAUACCAUCCGUAUAGAAGAGUGUAAUUCGAGAAUGCCGCCAUUUUUUUUUUUUUUUUUUGAAAGUACUUAAAAAAAACAAAUUGAAAAUUUAUAAAACAUGGUUAUCGUAUAUUCUAUAAUAAUUUUUUUUUAUAAUGUUUACGUUUUUGUUUUUUGUGUUUCUCUAUAAUAUCUAUAAUAUUUCCUCUCUCUUUCUCUGUCUCUGUAUCUAUCUCCUGGACCGUGUAUUUUUCAUUUUUUUUCUCCUUCUCUCCUCCUCCUCGAGUAUUCUCACCUUUUUAACGAUAUCGCUUGCUUGAUUGUUGUUUAUGUGUGUUUGUGUGACUUGUGUAAGUAAAGUACUACUACAGGAUGAAAAAGAAACGCUGUUCGUGAAAAAAAAAAAAAAAGACGUUUGUAAUGUUAAAUAAUUUUACAGUUUAUACAUAGGUUUAAUGUACUACAUUAUGUAUUGUAUUGUAACGUUUUAGAUACCUAUAUUUUUUCUUUCGCCAAUAAAACCGGACAUUUUUAUCUACGUAGUUUGGUAUUUCGAAGAAAUAAGACUGAGUAUAGCGCGGUUUUUUUUCAAAUUUUUAAUUCUUUUCGUACGGUGUACGAGACGAGACGAUAACGAUAGGAUUAGUAGGACCUGUGUUCUAGCUGUUGUACUUGUUAAUCGAUAAUAUAGGUACGUUUUUUUUUUAGCAAUCGGUAAAGAUAAGAACAAUUUUUGUAAAUAGUUACCAAUUUUUAAACUUUACCGAUAAAAUGGAGGGAAGCAUGAAUUUUUCGACGAGAAACCGAAACCGAAACGCCGAACGCGUCGUAGAAUGUUUUUUUUUUUUAAAUCUCCAUUGUGUGUGUGUAAUCGUAUAUUUUACUAUUUUUUAGAGUGAUCAUUCUUCUUCUUCUACGUUGAUUUGAACCACCGACAUUAUUAAUAUUUAAACUACUCGUACCAACUCCGAGACGAGUGGUUGAUUAUUAAUUGUAUUAUACAUAAUAAUACGUAUAUACUGAAUGUUCUGCGUUGAACGACGAAUAAACAUAUACGUUUGUUGA